rnacentral:rRNA from 1 species
GACGAACGCUGGCGGCGUGCCUAAUACAUGCAAGUCGAGCGCAGGAAAUCGACGGAACCCUUCGGGGGGAAGUCGACGGAAUGAGCGGCGGACGGGUGAGUAACACGUAAAGAACCUGCCCUCAGGUCUGGGAUAACCACGAGAAAUCGGGGCUAAUACCGGAUGGGUCAUCGGACCGCAUGGUCCGAGGAUGAAAGGCGCUUCGGCGUCGCCUGGGGAUGGCUUUGCGGUGCAUUAGCUAGUUGGUGGGGUAAUGGCCCACCAAGGCGACGAUGCAUAGCCGACGUGAGAGGGUGAUCGGCCACACUGGGACUGAGACACGGCCCAGACUCCUACCGGAGGCAGCAGUAGGGAAUCUUCCACAAUGGACGAAAGUCUGAUGGAGCAACGCCGCGUGAACGAUGAAGGCCUUCGGGUCGUAAAGUUCUGUUGUAAGGGAAGAACAAGUGCCGCAGGCAAUGGCGGCACCUUGACGGUACCUUGCGGGAAAGCCACGGCUAACUACGUGCCAGCCGCCGCCGUAA